GACAUAGGUUGCGAACGUUAUCCGGAAUUAUUGGGCGUAAAGGAUGCGUAGAUGGUUUGAUAAGUUAUCAGUGGCAAAUCGGGGCUCAACCUCGUGGAAGCUGGUAAUACUGUCAUACUCGAGUGCAGGAGAAGUUAACGGAACUCUAUAUGGAGCGGUAAAAUGUGACGAUAUAUAGAAGAACACCAAUAAGGCGAAGGCAGUUAACUAUUCUGUUACUGACAUUGAGGCAUGAAAGCGUGGGGAGCAAAACGG
rnacentral:rRNA from 1 species